UACAGAGGUCUCAAGCGUUUGUUCGGAUUCAUUGGGCGUAAAGGGUGCGUAGGUGGCGCGGUAAGUCGGGUGUGAAAUCUCGGAGCUUAACUCCGAAAUUGCAUUCGAUACUGCCGUGCUUGAGGACUGGAGAGGAGACUGGAAUUCAUGGUGUAGCAGUGAAAAUGCGUAGAGAUCAUGAGGAAGACCAGUGGCGAAAGGCGGGGUCUCUGGACAGUUCCUGACACUGAGGCACGAAGGCCAGGGGGAGCAAACGGGG
rnacentral:rRNA from 1 species